UUUCCGUAGGUGAACCUGCGGAAGGAUCAUUAUUGAAUAAACUUGGUUAGGUUGUUGCUGGCUCUUAGGGGCAUGUGCCCGCCGACUCCAUUUUUAACCACCUGUGCACCUGGCGUAGAUCUGAUAUUCUCGAGGCAACUCGAUUUGAGAAUUGCUGUGCAAUAAAAGGCCAUCUUUUCUUGUAUUCAGGUCUAUGUUUCUACAUACCCCACAUGAAUGUAUUUUGAAUGUCGUCAUUGGCCUUGUGCCUUUAAAAACAAAUACAACUUUCAGCAACGGAUCUCUUGGCUCUC
rnacentral:misc_RNA from 1 species